GAAUGUGAUGGACUUCUUAAUCUUGAUUGUUAACUGGAAUCUCUGUAACAGACUUACUUAUCCAGACAUAAUAGAUACUGAGAAGUUAAUAAUAAACUCAGAAAUCUGCCGCUUAACCACCUGUCUUGUUAAUUAUGUUAACAACACAUUGGCAAUUGCUUUGAUUUAAACACUCUGAGUUUGGUUUGCCUUUUCAGUUCCAGUUCACUGUCCACACAGCUUCCUUUCGGCUGUGCUCUCUGCCUUCCCGGGCACACGGAGGAGCACACGAGGUUGCCCAGGGAGGCUUCUGUGAACCCCAGGACGAACACUCUGUGUCAGGGCAUCCCUGUAUGCUCAAUACUGAAAGACAGGCACUUCUUUUCAACAGGUCAGAAGGGUCGAAAGGUCUGCUGCUCAAAGCUUCUCAAACUCAACAAAAAACCACAUAAAGGUGUAAAUUUCAAAAUGACUCCGAUGGAAAUAAGGAAAUACUGCAAGCCUUGUCCUCGUCCAGGUCUUCCGAUGGCUCCUGGACCCCUUCCACAGUUAAGAUGAGCAGACUGAAAAGCAUCUGCCUGCCAGCACAUCUCACAGCGUUUUACUUGGUUGAGGGCCCUCCUUUCACAGAUAGGACCUAUGUGUAUAUUGCUUUUACUUUGUGUUUGGGAAAGGCUUCAGUGCUGUUUCUGUGGUCACUCAGGCUCCUACGUCUUGUUGACAUUAGCUUGGCAGCUGAAGAGGCAGGCAAAGGUGCCUGGCUACCACUGGACCUUGCCUCAGCUGCAUAUUCCUCUGCACCAAACAGGGGUUUAGCUCCUCAAAAAAGAGGAGGAGGAGAGCUGGCUGCAUCACUUUGUUUUGCAUAUUUCGAUUGCUUGAAAGAUGGGAAGGGGCAGAUGUUAUUGUUUCUAGUUAUCAGUAUAUAUGUGUAUUUAACCUUUUCUAUGAAUGAUUUAUUUUAUAUCGACAAGAAGAUUUCUUUUGUAGCUAGGCACGUGAUGAUUUUUCCAGCAGCUUUUGCUCUCGGUGCUUCAAGUCCACCUGGAAGUAGUUUUCUAGCAAGUGAGAGAGAGCUCAUCAUUUAGAAAGGGCUGAGAAACUAGAUAAGCAGGUUGUUAAAAAAGCGGUAAAGGACCAGAUUCCAGUACAGUGGUAAGCUUUUCAGUAUCUCCUCUGGGCAUUUAAAUCUGGCUUUAAAAGUGAGGGGGCUUGUUCUUUAACUUCCUAGAAGAAUGUCAUCAGGUGGCUAUUAAACAGUGUACUGAAAAGAUGUUAAGGCUAAUCAGAUUAAAUCUCUCCCUCCUGAAGCCAGAAGGCAGCUGUUCUUUUAAGACACCCGAGUUGUGUGUGAUCACCUCAAUAAACAAAACUUACUGGAGCAUGAAAUAAAUGCUAAGAAUAAUACCAAAGGGCUGAAUAACGGAGAAACAGAAGCACCCUCUGCUGACAUUGUUAGCAGUGAUUGGGGUCUUCACUCACAUAUCUUCUGUCUUUUCCUACCCGUCUUAUGCAUAUGCUGCUUAUUUCUCUGCCUGGGGGUGAGCCCUUAAAACAGAAUUGCUUGGUGGCUCAUAAAUUUGGUUUUCCUUCUAGUGAAUAUGAGGAGGAGUAGAAAGCUUUGCUGUUGGGCAAACUGCAGAUUGUAAAUUGUAAUUUUUCCCUCAGUACUCAUAGUACUACUGUUCCUCUUAACAUGAUUGUCAAUACAAUAGGAAUGGUCUCGGUGCCCUUCAGCAUUUUGGGGAGUUGGAUGGGGACAGUCGGAGGUCUGUGGUUACCCACGCAGGCACAUGCAGUUCCCAGGGGUCAAGUUUAUGGGCACUUACACGUGGCCAUGCUCCCAUUGGCAAUGUUUCUAUCGCACUGAGAAACUGAACCUAUUUCUGGGCCUUCUGUGUGCUUGUUACUACUUUAUUUUCUGAUUGACUUUGGGAUUAGAUAGAACUGACUCUCAGCUUCCUAUUUUUGAAGAGCUGACCAUGCAUAGCAUUUUUAUAUCAAGGAUGAAGGAGCUGCCAGUCCUCCUCACCAGAUCUCUGAGUGGGGAGGCUGGUGAAGGAGCUGUGUUUGACUGCUCUGUUGCUGAUCACUUGGCCAACAUAUUUUAUUUCUAUUUUGUCUUUUGUAGCUUGCAGAUGAAUCUGUAGAAUACAAAUGGCAAGUAAAGUUAAAAGCAUUUUUGAUAUUAAACGUGUUUGCAGUAGGGUUUUCCUCUGUAGACUAUGGCCAUAUGUGUUUACAGCUCUGUAUGAAGCAUUGCUAACAGGUAUGAAGAUUCUGUUCUCUAAAGUGAACUUAAACCCAUUCCUUCCAUAUCUGAAAAAUGCCGCAUGAUUUUUGGUUUUGCACCACGCCCUCCAACCAGCGUGCGCCACACUACAGUCCUCCUUCAGGCAACAUGUUCUCUCUGCUGGCAAAAACAUAAGCCCCAAAGACCAUCAGCACAAUUACAGAAAUACUCUGGGUCUCUGGAGGGAUCCCAGGACAUCAUUUAAUGCGCUUCAGUGUUUUUACUCAAUGAGUGUCCCAGAGUGGCCUCAAUCUAAGGUGAGGGCUAUUCCAGUUAAAGCUGUUCCUUGUGUGAGGUCCAAGUCUUGGCCGAAAGAACUAAAGCAGGUACACUCAAAUUAUUUCAGCAUGAUUGUGACCACUGCCCAAACAUCUUUUUUUGCUUCAUCUGAGGGUAUCGGGAUAUUAUGUGUCAGCCCUUGAAGGUGGUUCUUCAACAGAGUUUGCCUCUUACACAGCAGGCUGUUUUCCCCAUGUGGCAGGUAGAACAGAGGUACCUCUCAUCAUGAUUUCACCUACAGGCAUCUGUUCUUCCUUUUGUUUUCCUUUUGCUUCUGCGUAUAUUUGUUUGGCCCUACCUGAGGAGAAACAUAUUUGUUCAGUGGCUUUUCAAAGUACACAAGCUGUAUGCUUAUAUAAAGUAGUAAAUUUAGCUUGUCCAAGCUGACAAAUGCUUUUUUUUUUUGGUGUCUUGUGGUUUUUGUGUGCGUUUGGCAGUCAAGCAAGAAAAUUGCACAGCCAAGUUCCAAUAAAGAUGUUUCUGAAGUAUCUCUAUGCCUGCCAGAACAGAUGUUGGACCCUGGUCUGACCUUGUCAACUGAGUGAGGCAGGUGGUCCCUCACUUUGCUUAGAACUUGAUGCCACCAGCUAACACUGAAUCAGUCUGUCUUAGUUGGCACUGUGACUGUGCCUUGUCAGGAGCGCAGGAGAAACCAUCCCUGCUGACAGGCACGGCAGGGUUUCAGGUCUCUUCUUCUGAAGUGGGUAGUAGAAGGUAUAAAAUA